rnacentral:lncRNA from 1 species
CUCGGCUCGGCUUUCCCCUUGCUUGGGGCUUCCUGCGAGCCCAAUAUAGCUCUGCCGAGCCACGUGGACCGCAGCGGGCUGGGUGGAGGCCGGACCGGCCUAAGAGACGCCGGAGGAGGAGGCGCGGGGACCGGAUCGCCGCCCCGAGAGAGGGGCUCUGCGGGAACAGCGCGCGAGGCUAGGGAAGAACUCCCCGGAGGCCUCAAGCUCGCGGGGUCAACCCCCGGGACAAGGCGAUGGGCGUGCGCCGAGAGGACGUGGCUGGCGGUGCCGAGAAGAUCCCUAGUCGGGUGUGCGGUGGAGAGAGGUGGCGAUCCCCCCUGCAGAGCCACCUCUUCCUCUAAGGGCGUGGGACUGGAGGGUUUGUUUUGCUGAGCAAGUGGAUACAGGCAUGCAGAGCUCCGGAAACUGUCGUUGGUGGCAUCUUCUGAGAGCUCAGCCCAAGCCCGCUGCAGAAGGAGGAAGGAGCGGGUUUCAACUGUGCUCCUGACCUGCCUAGAUAGAUAGGGUGGAAGCAUUGUGUAAGACCGGGGAAGCAGACUCAAUUAGAAGGGAGGAAGGGGAGGACAAAGAGAAAACAAACUACCAGAAAAGGAAAUAAAAGAAACCGAGACCCACAAGUUCCACUAGUCAGGGGGUGGGGGAGUAAUGCGCAAGAUGUCCUUCCUUCAGGUAAGUCUCCCCCUGGGGGAGGCCUUACCUGCCACUUGACUGUCCCCACCCGCUGGGAAUUUGAGGGAAGAGGUCUCCAAGGUGCUCUAUGACCCAUGCUGAAUCCUCUUCCCUGCUGUCCUUGGUUGAUUUGGGUUUCCAUGCUAUACAGGGGGUGAGGUCCUUGCCCCACGCGAAAGUGUCUCUGUAAGCUUUUUUUUUUUCUGAGACACUGGUCAGACUGCAGCACCUGGCGUUCUUUUGCGUGCUUGGGAGAGGAGGGCAGAGUUCCAAUCCUGUCAGCUACUGCCCCUCAUAGCACAGCAUCUUCCAACCAUAUCUAGUGUGGGCCACUUAGAUUCUUGGUAGCCAGUGGUACGGUUUGGAGCAGGAGCACACACCCGGGAGACCCUCAGAAGGCAAUUUAAAUGGUCACCUAGCUGGACCUUACUGCAGAGAACGGAGUCUGGUGGUUUGCAAGGCUGUGUCUACUGGCUGUGUGCCUCUUGAGUUGAUGAGGCUUUCUGUGGCUAAGGAACCCUGCUUCCUGCUGACUGCAGCCCUCUCUCUGUGUGGUUCACAAGGUAGUAAGGAAGUGUUGGGUGAAUUAGUCUUGCAAGGAACCAUGGGUGCAAAGGGAAUCACUUAGGCAAAUGGAACCACACUUGGUGAGUAGGAGACUGCUUUUGUAUUCUAAUGGAUUCCCUGGAGGGAGGGUUAGAUUAGGCAAAUUGACAGCCCCCCCGGGGCAUCCAGCUGUUGCACUUUGAGAGCCAGCUCUGUUUCUACCCCCAGAGUGGGUCUCCGGAUGACUUCAAAGGGGCCUCCGGUGAGUUCUGGUGAAUGUGCAUAAGCCACUGCCUUACCCAUGUAAAAUGCAUCUACUUCUAGUCAGGGAAUGCAGGCAGGACCUUUUUAAAUCCACCCACUGGCUGUCUUGUUACAACACAACUUCUUUCUAGGUAACAGGAUGGGCCUUCCAUAUUCCUUCCCUUCUUUUCUGUUCCUUCCU